AUUAGGAAUCUUGCGCAAUGGGGGCAACCCUGACGCAGCGACGCCGCGUGGAGGAGGACGGCCUUCGGGUUGUAAACUCCUUUUGACAAGGAAGAAGAAAGUGACGGUACUUGUCGAAUAAGCCCCGGCUAACUCCGUGCCAGCAGCCGCGGUAAUACGGAGGGGGCGAGCGUUGUCCGAAGUUACUGGGCGUAAAGCGCGCGUAGGCGGGUCUCUAAGUCCGCUGUGAAAGCCCGGGGCUCAACCCCGGAGGGUCGGUGGAGACUGGGGAUCUUGAAGGGGCUAGGGGGGAGUGGAAUUGCCGGUGUAGCGGUGAAAUGCGUAGAGAUCGGCAGGAACACCCGUGGCGAAGGCGGCUCCCUGGGGCCUCCUUGACGCUGAGGCGCGAAAGCUGGGGGAGCGAACGG
rnacentral:rRNA from 1 species